CAAAGAAAGUCUGAGACUGAGCCUUAUGAUAACCAGGCAUUUCCAAGUCACUUGCCACAGUAGUCAAGGAGCUCUCAGUGGUCUCCAACUCCAGUCCCUCCACAUGCAGCACCUCCAAGUUUUGUGCUUUAUAUGGGGGUCAAUAGAAUAUGGUUAUUCAAGGAAUUGUGGACACCAUGUGACAAAAGAGUCCAGGUUCAAACAGGAAUGGGACCAGGGCCAUACCCAGCCUCUUGAUUACUAUGUGCAGUCCAGUCCAAGUACCCACAUUUUGAACUCCAGACCCCCAUAAGGGGGUCUAAUAGUCUUAAGUAGCCAGGCACAGUGGCACAUGUCUAUAAUCCCAGCUACUCAGGAGGCUGAGGCAGGAGGAUUCCAAGUUUGAGGCCAGCUUGAGCAACUUAGAACCCCCAUCUCAAAAAAAAAAGAUGGGGAAACUGAGGAUGUGAUGAGUGAUAGAGUGAGCCUGGGUUCAUUCCCUAAUACUAGAAAAAGAAUUAAUUCUUUAAAUUAAUUCCUGAGAGAAACUCAGUGGGUAAACAGUUUGCUACUGGGAGAAAAAUGGACCUGGUAUUGCAGUUCUUCCUAGCUUGGAUGGGCAUAGAUCUACCAGCAUUCUGAGAGCUUCGCUUUUCUUGAGGGAAGGGUUCUUCUACAGCCACCUCCUCCAGGAAGCCUUUCCUGAUUCUCUUAAACAAGGUCUCUUCCUCAUGGCACCUUGCUCCUUCAGUAAUCUUAGCAGCACCCAUAUUGUUUUACUUAAUGCUGUUUCAACAACCAUAUCACAUAGGUAUUAUAAUUAUGUUUGUUGAACAUGUCAGGAAAUCAAGACCUAGAGACAUGAAGUAACUUAUCCAAGUCACCAGGAAGAAGCAAUGCCAGGCCUGAUGCUCAUCCUGCUGACUACACUGUUAACCCCAUCAUCCUGUUUAGCACAACAGACUAAAACCCAGGAAAGAUAAGAUUCCCUUUACCUCAUAUCUCCCACUUCUCAAUUUAGCUCCCUUUGGGCCCUACUACUGUGUCUUACUACAUGAGCACUCAUUUUCCGCUAGGACCUGUAGAUUGAAGCUUUUUCCAUAAGUGUUUUUCAUUCUUUUUUUUUCCCCCUUUGGUCCAUCUGUAUAAAGUCUAUGUUAAGAAUCAUCUUCUAGUAUUGGUUUAAUUUUAUAAAUUAUCUGGACUGGAUGAGUCAUGGCUGACAAUUUCAGUGAUGAGUCUGGGGCCCAGAGUGGGCGGAAGGACAAAGCCACCCAGUUGCUAAUUGUGGCUCUGUGGUUCAGCUUGUUUNGUUAUGUUUUGGGUUUCACUUU
rnacentral:lncRNA from 1 species